UACGUAGGGGGCUAGCGUUGUCCGGAAUCAUUGGGCGUAAAGCGCGCGUAGGCGGCCCGGUAAGUCCGCUGUAAAAGUCCAGGGUUCAACCCUGGAACGCCGGUGGAUACUGUCGGGCUAGAGUCCGGAAGAGGCGAGUGGAAUUCCUGGUGUAGCGGUGAAAUGCGCAGAUAUCAGGAAGAACACCCGUGGCGAAGGCGGUUCUCUGGGACGGUACUGACGCUGAGACGCGAAAGCGUGGGGAGCAAACAGG
rnacentral:rRNA from 1 species